rnacentral:rRNA from 1 species
GACGAACGCUGGCGGCGCGCUUAACACAUGCAAGUCGAGCGAGAACCAUGCCUUCGGGCAUGGGGACAGCGGCGAACGGGUGAGUAACACGUGGGUAAUCUGCCCUUGACAUCGGGAUAGCCCGGGGAAACCCGGAUUAAUACCGAAUAGCCUCCGAAGCCCUCGGGCGUCGGAGAAAAGGUAGCUUCGGCCUCUGGUCAAGGAUGAGCCCGCGGCGGAUUAGCUUGUUGGCGGGGUAACGGCCCACCAAGGCGACGAUCCGUAGCUGGUCUGAGAGGACGAUCAGCCACAUCGGGACUGAGACACUGCCCGGACUCCUACGGGGGGCUGCAGUAACGAAUCUUCCGCAAUGCACGAAAGUGUGACGGAGCGACGCCGCGUGGAGGACGAAGUCC